rnacentral:rRNA from 1 species
GUCUUUUUGAGUUAUUUUUAAAGUCUAGCCUGCCCACUGAUUUUUAAAUGGCCGCAGUAUCUUAACUGUGCAAAGGUAGCAUAAUCAUUAGUCUUUUAAUUGAAGGCUGGUAUGAAUGGUUGGACGAAGUAUAUACUGUUUCAUAUGUAUUUAUAUUAGAAUUUUAUUUUUUAGUUAAAAAGCUAAAAUUAGGUUAAAAGACGAGAAGACCCUAUAAAUCUUUAUAUUUUUUGUAGUUUAAAUUUAUUGAAUUUUGUAUAUUUUUAUGCAAUAGAUUAUUUUGUUGGGGUGACAUUAAAAUUUAAUAAACUUUUAAUUGUAUUUAAUCAUUAAUUUAUGAGUUGUUGAUCCAUUAAUAGUGAUUAUGAGAUUAAGUUACUUUAGGGAUAACAGCGUAAUUUUUUUGGAGAGUUCUUAUCGAUAAAAAAGUUUGCGACCUCGAUGUUGGAUUAAGAGAUAGGAUUAGGUGCAGUUGCUUAAUUAUUAAGUCUGUUCGACUUUUAAAUUCUU